UGGUCUGCCGUCUCAUCAGCAAAACGAACUUUUAGUUUGACCCCCCGAAACUAAGUGAGCUACUUCGAAACAGCCUAAAGAGCCAACUCAUCUCUGUUGCAAAAGAGUGAGAUGAUUUCCAAGUAGAAGUGACAAACCUACCGCACUUAAAGAUAGCUGGUUACCCGAGAAAAGAAUAUAAGUUCAACCUUAAGCCUUCCAUUUUCACUAAAAAUCUCCUCAGACUUAAGAGUUAUUCGAAUAAGGCACAGCUUAUUCGAAACAGGAUACAACCUACAAUCUAGGGUAACAUCUAAGAAUAAAUAACAAGUGGGCCUAAGAGCAGCCACCUUUUAAAAAGCGUUAAAGCUUAUUAUCUUAUCUAAACUAAUACCAUCACCCACCUCUAACCCAUAAACAAUAUCGAGUAACUCCAUAAUCAUAUGGAAGAUAUAAUGCUAGAACUAGUAAUAAGAAAUAGACUUUCUCCAAAAUGUAAGCUUAAGCCACACUAGACCGACUACUGGCAAUUAACGCAAAUGAACUUAUCAUAACAACUCGACAAGAAAACACUAUAUAACCCAACGUCAACCUUACACUAGAACAUUUAUGGAAAGAUUAAAAGAGAGAGAAGGAACUCGGCAAACUUCGACCCCGCCUGUUUACCAAAAACAUCGCCUCUUGAAUAAAUAUAAGAGGUCCAGCCUGCCCAGUGACAAAGUUCAACGGCCGCGGUACCCUAACCGCGCGAAGGUAGCAUAAUCACUUGUUCUUUAAAUGGGGACUAGUAUCAACGGCAUCACGAGGGUCCUACUGUCUCCUCCCUCCAAUCAAUGAAACUGAUCUCUCCGUGAAGAAGCGGAGAUUUAACUAUAAGACGAGAAGACCCCAUGGAGCUUUAAACCCUACUGCACCCCCACUUCUUAUACCCUUAUAACCAAAGGGGCCCUGCACGUCGGUUUUAGGUUGGGGUGACCGCGGAGCACAAAUCAACCUCCACGAUGAACGGGACUAACCCCUUAUCUAAGAAGCACACCUCUAAGAAUUAGCACACUAACAUAAAAUGAUCCGACAUUCGAUCAACGAACCAAGUUACCCUGGGGAUAACAGCGCAAUCCACUUCAAGAGCCCCUAUCCACAAGUGGGUUUACGACCUCGAUGUUGGAUCAGGGUAUCCUAGUGGUGCAGCA
rnacentral:rRNA from 1 species